GUGUGCCGUAAGUUGUUUACCUCAGCAUUGUCACCCAGUGGACACAUGGAUGAUAAAAUUGAGCCACAUUUGUGACAUUAUAGGAAUCCUCCAACAAUGCUGCAGGAACUCAAAUAUGGAAUUUCAGCGACAUCAAGUGAGUGAGCCUGAGAGACAGAUGGCAGGGAAAAUCCCCUCAUACUACAGCAUACAGGCCAGCCUCGUUCAAGAGCCAAAGAUUUUCCUAAGCUACCGAGGACAUCUGCAGACCUCCAGCUAUCCCCAGCAUACACACAGACCUGUGCAGGGCAGGAUUUUCUUCUUCACCAAGACGACAAGAUGUUGAUGUUCAGUACCCGAGAAAAUCUAUGUCACCUUUCCAUGACUGACACUUACAUUGCGGAUGGUACAUUUAGCGUAUGUCCAGAGAUCUACGACUAGCUGUACGCAAACCAUCCGCAAGUUCAUGGAAAGAUGAUGCCACUUGUGUAUACCUCCUGCCAGACAAGAAACAGUCAACAUACUUUAUUUGAGUGUUUGAAGCAGAAAGCCUCCUACCACAACCUGAAUUUAUCCCGACAACACUGUUCACCGACUUCGAGUCAGCAGCUCAGAUUGCAUUGCAAGAAUACUUCUAAGAAUACUAGGGGCGGUGGGGUAGCCUAGUGGUUAAAGCGUUGGCUCGUCACGCCGAAGACCCGGGUUCG
rnacentral:lncRNA from 1 species